CAGGUUCUGAGUUCGAUCCCCGGUACCAAAAAAAAAUAAAAAUGAAAAAGAACAUUCUAAACACUUUUACUUUUACUUACAAUGUAAAGAGAAAAAAAAAUUAAGAUCAUAGAGCUACAAAUUGUAAAAUAUGUAUAAAAUGUGAAAGGUAAGUAUCAGCAGACUAACAGCAAUUAUAUGAGGUUAGGAACACUAUAUUUUCUUUUCUCAUUUUCUCAAAGUUUUUGUAACAUGCAUUUCUUAUAUUGGAAAAAUAUGCAUUAAAAAGGAGUAGAGUACACUGAGCAAGAGCAGGCAGGAGCCAGGCUGGCUGUGCUGUCACCUACUAGGUAUGUGAUCUUGGGCAAGUAACUGACUGUUUCUAAGUAAAUACUGUAAAAUGAGUGUUAUGACGGUGACUACCCAUGAAGGUGACUGUGAGAAGCCAAUCUGUUAAAAUGUUACUUAGAACAUCCUCAUCACUCAGAAAAUAUGCAAGCAGAAGUUAUUUUGUUGUAUCACUGUUUUGCAAGCACACCUCAUUGUUUUGGAGCUCCUUGGUAAGCAGGCAGAGUGACCCCACCGCCCCCCACCGCCACCACACACAGCUGAUGCUCAGAUAGACGUGCUCAUUAGCAACAGUUUUGUUUCUAUAUAUAUAUAUAUUUUUUUUAAUUUGUCUUUACUAUGAAUUCCCCAGUCCAGAGGUUUCUAGGAACCAGUCUACCAUUGGUUGAAGUGUUGGUUUUGAACUUUUUCUAAGAAAUAGUUACAGAAAUCAAAUAUGUGAUGUGUUAUGUUCAAGAAUCCCCAGCUAAGCAAAGUGUGGUGGUGCCUGCCUGUAAUCCCUUCACUCAGGAGGCUGAGGCAGGAGGAUCACCACGAGUUCAAGGCCAGCCUGGGCUACAUAGUGAGUUCAAGGCUGGCCUGAACUACAUAGAAAGAACCUGUCUCAAAAGAAAAAGAAAAAAUCAAAAAGAAGCCCAGCUUCCUGCUUAUGUCUCAUGUCUGAGCACACAUAUAUGAGCGAUUGAAUCUGCCCAUUGAAGCCACUCUUGCAUUGGCGUCAUCAGUUGUGAAUUAGAGAAAAUACCCACUACACUUGGACCUAUCUGUAGACUUUUCACCAUCUCCCAGAUCUGACAGCCUGAAUAACAAUAGAAAGCUAUUUAAGAGGUAGGACAUUUGCUGUGAAUUUACUUUUUCUGAAUUGACCUUCCCAGGGAAACUGAAAAAAGUGCUUUAAAACUUUUUUUUUUAUCCUCACCUGACAGACCUAAAACAUUUGGAAGCUUUUGGUAGAGUAUCCUCAUUGUUUGAAAUAGUUCCAUUAAAAUUGUAAAAAUCGCAGGUAUUUUAAAAUGUUAUGAACCCAAUAUUUAUGGUGAGCUGUCUUAAUGGCUAAUGAGAUGACAAGACCUUGUAAUAACCCCUGUCAACCAAACUAAUAGGUGUUAACCAGUUGGAGUAUCUCAGCUCUUGUAAGAAGAAGAAACACACAUUGUUAUCUCAAGGUUUUGUGAGAACAGUCACCUGCGUGUAUGUGUUUGCUUUUCAGGAUGUCGCGGGUCUCUGUCCUGUUAAGUUGAGCUGCAGAACUUCCCUGUCAAUUCUCCUAGUCUUGCUGUAACAGCCCUGAUCCCCUUGUAUGAAGGUGAAUGUCUCCAGAAAAUACAGUGGCCAUAUACACAGGAAGUAGAUGAAAGUAAAUUAAAAGCCUCCACUCUAUUUCAUGUCUGAAAAUGGGUCAAUGUUCACAUAGCUACAUGUCCUUCCUCAUAGGGGGAUAAUAGCCAGGAAGAAAAUAUUUGAACAUGGAAGACUGAAGCUGCUACAGGACAGUGCUGACUAAACUUUGAUUUGCAUUUGCACCCCUGGAGGAUCUUGUGUCAAGACAGAUUCAGAUUCAAAAGGUUUGGGUUAGGUUCCAAUAUUUUUUUCUAACAAGAUGAUGCCAGGCUGCUGUUCUGUGAAUGCCAAGAGUUUAGAGCCCUUCCUUAGGCAACUCCUGUCCCCUCUGUGCAGUCAGCAAAAGGAGAGCACUUCCUGGUCAGAGGCUUAAAAAAAAAAAAACAGGAAAUACACAGCAUGUAUUUGGAUGAGACUAGAAACAAAACGAACAAGUUAACGAAGAAAUACGUUCAUCAAAACCUGACAUUAUUA